UUGACAGGAAAGGGUGUCCAGGCACAGGGCCAAGUUUCCAAGAAGUCAACAGGGUAAUGUAGAUACACGUCAGCAAAGAUAAUUAGGUAGCUUAGAAUGAGAUCUUUGUCUGAGAUGGGAAUUGCAGCUGCUGAUGAACAAGAGGGAGCAAUCCAGGAAGCUGCCGUCUGGGUGCUGCCUUUCCCCGGAGUGCGGCCGCACGCGGAAGCCGGUGAGAUUCCAGGACAAAGAGGGACGGCCCAGGGCACGGACUUGGAUGCUCCCCGUGUCUGACGAUGACGAUGAUUGGAACGUGCCUUUUAAAAAACCCCCAAGUAAUGUAGAGACUGGGGCUCUGACCUUCACCGUUUGGGUGGCCUGGGGCACGUGGUGUCUUUGAGCCUCACGUUCCUCAUCUGCUGAAGAGGGUAACACCGCUCUGCAGGUGGGUGGUAAGGGCUACAGUGGACAGCGUAUGUGAAGUAUGUGCAUAGUGUUUGGCACAGAAGAAGAGCUUAACAACCGUUGGGUGUUCCACUGAGCAGGGCUCGGAAGACCAGAGCAAAGCGCUCUCGGAGUCCGGAGCUGAUCGUUGCAACACUUGAAGGCAAGUAGCAGCACUCCCUGUGGGUAUUAUAAGCCCUUGACUGAAAGAGAUGCAAAUAGAUAAGCUAGCCCUGAGGGUGGCCGGCUUUACAGCUCAGACCCGGAAUUUAGCCACAGUUCUACUGAAAGCCUCACAGCUUCCCUAGAUCGCGGGGAGUCACACCGCGGCUCUAGGGGACACGGGCUUGGAAAUCAGUCGUCUCUCCCGCUGGAACUAUUAGGAUCGCAGGCCAUGCACGGGCAAGUAACUGAGAGAGACCCAGAGGAAUCCAGGCCUUCCUGGGAGAGGAUUUCUUGGACCUGGAAUCACUGUGACAACAGCAACCCCAGGAAGAGUUGGAAAGGGAUUUCAAUGCAGGUCCCUAGCAGGAGCGAGGACAGGCGGUGCGGUGCAGUUACCCUAGGACAACCGUGAGUUCAUCAAGAAGUCGUGCACUCAGACCACGCUCAGGGCAAGACGACUGAGCAGAGCGGGGUUCGGGGCGUCAGGGCUGCCUCUGCGACCUGGGCCUGUGUAAGGGGGACGGGGGAUAAAACGCUUCACGUCUCCUCCUCCUUCCAGAUGCUUUAGAUAUUUUUCAGUGAUUGGACUCGGAUUCGCUGAAGAACUCAAAAGCCCAAGUGUCCUGGUAGCGAGGCCCUCACACUCGAGAAAGUGUGACCUCAGCUGAUCCAUGAGCUUUGGAUGUUAGAUUCCGUGCACCUUUUCUCACAGGGGCCCCCACGACC